GACGAACGCUGGCGGCGUGCUUAACACAUGCAAGUCGAACGGAAAGGCCCUGCUUUUGUGGGGUGCUCGAGUGGCGAACGGGUGAGUAACACGUGAGUAACCUGCCCUUGACUUUGGGAUAACUUCAGGAAACUGGGGCUAAUACCGGAUAGGAGCUCCUGCUGCAUGGUGGGGGUUGGAAAGUUUCGGCGGUUGGGGAUGGACUCGCGGCUUAUCAGCUUGUUGGUGGGGUAGUGGCUUACCAAGGCUUUGACGGGUAGCCGGCCUGAGAGGGUGACCGGCCACCUUGGGACUGAGAUACGGCCCAGACUCCUAACGGAGGCAGCAGUGGGGAAUAUUGCACAAUGGGCGGAAGCCUGAUGCAGCAACGCCGCGUGCGGGAUGACGGCCUUCGGGUUGUAAACCGCUUUCGCCUGUGACGAAGCGUGAGUGACGGUAAUGGGUAAAGAAGCACCGGCUAACUACGUG
rnacentral:rRNA from 1 species